GGCUGGCCUUGAAUUUGUGGUGCUCCUGCCUCAUCUUCUAGGAUUACAGCUAAGUCACUAAAUUGCCCAGGCUGGGACUGAAUUUGCAGUCCUCCUGCCUCAGCCUACCAGAGUGCUGGGAUUACAGGUGUGCUCUACCACUCCUAGUCUGAGGAUUCUAAUCAGGAUAAAUCUUGGAAUUCAUUCUUGGAAUGCUGAGCAGAACGGAGCAUCUCCAUGAGGAGGGAUAAUCAAAUAAAUGUGCUAUGUUGGACACUGUGACGGGAAGAAGAUGGAAGAGAGAGGAUGUGAGCAUGUAUAUUUGAAGACGAGGGAAAGAGUGGCUGUGGCAGAAAAAUCAACUCGUACACUGAGUGAGUCAUGUGCAGUUUUCCGGAGUACACAGACUCUUCACCUAUGGUUGGAUUCCCAGGGGACCAUGGUUCCUAAGGGUCUUGCCAGGCUGCCCAGGCUGGGGACUUGAACUUGC
ensembl:lncRNA